GACGAACGCUGGCGGCGUGCUUAACACAUGCAAGUCGAACGGAAAGGCCCUGCUUGCAGGGUGCUCGAGUGGCGAACGGGUGAGUAACACGUGGGUGAUCUGCCCCUUACUUUGGGAUAAGCCUGGGAAACUGGGUCUAAUACUGGAUAGGACCAUGCUGUAGGUGGUGUGGUGGAAAGAUUAGUUUCGGUAAGGGAUGAGCUCGCGGCCUAUCAGCUUGUUGGUGGGGUAAUGGCCUACCAAGGCGUCGACGGGUAGCCGGCCUGAGAGGGUGGACGGCCACAUUGGGACUGAGAUACGGCCCAGACUCCUGCGGGAGGCAGCAGUGGGGAAUAUUGCACAAUGGGCGCAAGCCUGAUGCAGCGACGCCGCGUGGGGGAUGACGGCCUUCGGGUUGUAAACUCCUUGCAGCCAUGACGAAGCCCUUGUGGUGACGGUAGUGGUAGAAGAAGCACCGGCUAACUACGUG
rnacentral:rRNA from 1 species